GUGCGGGCGGCAGCUACCAUGCAGUCGAGCGGUAACAGGGGUAGCUUGCUACCCGCUGACGAGCGGCGGACGGGUGAGUAAUGCAUAGGAAUCUGCCCGAUAGUGGGGGAUAACCUGGGGAAACCCAGGCUAAUACCGCAUACGUCCUACGGGAGAAAGGGGGCUCCGGCUCCCGCUAUUGGAUGAGCCUAUGUCGGAUUAGCUAGUUGGUAAGGUAAUGGCUUACCAAGGCAACGAUCCGUAGCUGGUCUGAGAGGAUGAUCAGCCACAUCGGGACUGAGACACGGCCCGAACUCCUACGGGAGGCAGCAGUGGGGAAUAUUGGACAAUGGGGGCAACCCUGAUCCAGCCAUGCCGCGUGUGUGAAGAAGGCCCUCGGGUUGUAAAGCACUUUCAGCGAGGAAGAACGCCUAUCGGUUAAUACCCGGUAGGAAAGACAUCACUCGCAGAAGAAGCACCGGCUAACUCCGUGCCAGCAGCCGCGGUAAUACGGAGGGUGCAAGCGUUAAUCGGAAUUACUGGGCGUAAAGCGCGCGUAGGUGGCUUGAUAAGCCGGUUGUGAAAGCCCCGGGCUCAACCUGGGAACGGCAUCCGGAACUGUCAGGCUAGAGUGCAGGAGAGGAAGGUAGAAUUCCCGGUGUAGCGGUGAAAUGCGUAGAGAUCGGGAGGAAUACCAGUGGCGAAGGCGGCCUUCUGGACUGACACUGACACUGAGGUGCGAAAGCGUGGGUAGCAAACAGGAUUAGAUACCUUGGUAGUCA
rnacentral:rRNA from 1 species